UCACGGUCCUUCUUGGAGUCCCAGUUUUCUUAUCUACACAACUGAAGAAGCAAACCAGAAUGUCCUCAGUCCUUUUCUCUUCCACAUGUCUAUUCUAAAUCUCUUUUAUUGGAUUUUUGCUCUUAAAAGCAUGGAGGAGGGAGGUGAUAAGACGGAGCAAAGGAAAUUGGCAGCUCUCGAGUGCAGGGCUUUCUCUGGGGUCAGGGUUUUUGAAAGGAUCCUAAUUAAAGCCAAGUGAGUUCUUUCGAGUGAAGAUCUCAGCAGAGCUGCUUGUUGACCUUGAGAGGUAGGGAUUGCUGAGUGAAAGAGAGAGAGAAAGAAGAGAAAAGAGAGAGGCAAGGAGAAAAAGGAGUUAGAAGGGAAAAAAGAAGAAGGAGGAAAGGAGGUGGAGGGGGCAGCAGGGCAGGGGAGACAAGCAGCCUCAGAAGUGGGAGAGAUUUGAAGUGAAGAAACAAGUUGGCGAAAAUCAGGUGGGAGGAGCAGAGAGCAGAAAAGAAUAAAAGCUUUUCAGAUAAAGGAUGCACAUCUGGUACAACCUGUCAGAGCUCCUGGGGAAGAGGAGCUGGCAGGAGGAUUUGGAUGUAAA